AAAUAAUGAUUUUACAUAUUGUAUUGUUAGUUACAUUAAACGUCGUUAGCCUAUCGAUGGGUAAUCAGGAAUGCGAUCCUAAAAUGGAGGACAGGGUUAGCAAACAUUUCAAUCAAUUAACUUUAGCCGAUCGCCAAAAUCCGCAUCCGCUGACCAAAGAGGAACAGUUAGAAUAUUGCGAAAAAUACAAACUGACCGAACUAUUAAAGUAUGCCAACGAUGUGAUCACAUGUGUUGGCAAAUCGGCAAAA